rnacentral:rRNA from 2 species
AAGCACUUUUGGCAGGGAAGAAAAGCCGCGGGCGAAUAGCGCGCGGCGCUGACGGUACCUGCAGAAUAAGCACCGGCUAACUACGUGCCAGCAGCCGCGGUAAUACGUAGGGUGCAAGCGUUAAUCGGAAUUACUGGGCGUAAAGCGUGCGCAGGCGGUUCGGCAAGAAGGAUGUGAAAUCCCGGGGCUUAACCUCGGAACUGCAUUCUUAACUGCCGGGCUAGAGUAUGUCAGAGGGGGGUAGAAUUCCACGUGUAGCAGUGAAAUGCGUAGAGAUGUGGAGGAAUACCGAUGGCGAAGGCAGCCCCCUGGGAUAAUACUGACGCUCAUGCACGAAAGCGUGGGUAGCAAACAGGAUUAGAUACCCUGGUAGUCCACGCCCUAAACGAUGUCAACUAGCUGUUGGGGCCUUCGGGCCUUAGUAGCGCAGCUAACGCGUGAAGUUGACCGCCUGGGGAGUACGGUCGCAAGAUUAAAACUCAAAGGAAUUGACGGGGACCCGCACAAGCGGUGGAUGAUGUGGAUUAAUUCGAUGCAACGCGAAAAACCUUACCUACCCUUGACAUGUCUGGAAUCCCGAAGAGAUUUGGGAGUGCUCGCAAGAGAACCGGAACACAGGU